rnacentral:lncRNA from 1 species
UUUACACACUAAUCCAGUCGUUUAUACACAGUACGUCUUCUGACAUGGGCCUUUCUGCAUCAUGUAUUUGUACUUUUACUGGACAUAAGUUUUGUGAGCAGGGCUUUUACUAACCACUGCAUUUAACAGACCGUCAAUCCUUUUUAUAAUUCUGUUUGGAGAACCUUCCUUGUUCUUGAAAACAGACUAUUCCUGUGUGACACGUAUCACGACUCUGUUUUGUGGUUUCAUCGAACCCGUUGAGACCAAGGGCCGAAGAAGUCUACAAAGGUUCAUCAAAGAUUCACUGAUUAAUCGAAUUGUGGUUUCGAAAAUGUGGUUUAGAAAAUGUUUAGAAAAAAUAUUCAGAAGUUAUUCCAUUUUUCACAAAGACCAUGCUGCUGUGUUGAGUUGGCUUAUUUAGGACGUCAUCCAACAAACACUGGCAGCAAAUGAUCUCAAAGGAAGUAGUUGUAAUUAGUGAAUAGACUGAUGACAUCUAUCAUCAAGCGUUUUACUGGAUAGCAACUGAAAUGAACAAUCAGUCAUCAUAAUAGUUUAAAAAAAUGUAAAUAUAUAUUAUUGAUCUUUCGUGAGCGACUAAUCCAUUGUGAAAGCUACUCAAAAAAACAAUUACCCCAUAUUUGAAGAUAUUUCCAGAUUCUUUAUAGUCCACCCGGACGAAAAAAAACAAAAUGUUUUUUUUUAUUAAACGCUGUUCCCCAGGUGGUCACGCCCCCUUGUUCCGGAUCAAAACAAAGAUGGCCGCCCACAGGCCAGUGAUAGCGGCACACAGUUGGCAAACUUUUACCCGCCAGGGAAUGUUUUUCUGUUUAGAUGUCUGGAAGAGCCUUCGGGGAAUGUGAAAACACAGUGAGAACAGUUGUGAGUCGGGAGGGAUGACUGAGUCCGCCAUGACGGGACUUCAUGUUCCUGCACACACCAAGCAGAACACUCCUCACGCAGCUCUGUCUCCUCGGGACACUCCGGAGUUUCACCCUCCUUCACCGAGUCUGGCUUUCUGCGGCAGCAUGUCAGGUAUCGUCACUGAAAUGAGCACACAAGUGUAUUAACACUAGAAUCCCUUAUACGUUAGUCCUCUUAGUACUCUCCAGUAUGUAACUGUCCACAGUGCAUUGCCAC